AACAACUUUAUUUUUAGAAUUUAGUGUCUAAAUUUAACCGUCCGUCUUAUUUUAAAAAAUUAUAUUUAAUAUUUUUAUUGUUAUUAGAUAGUAAAAUAUGAAUUGUACUUCCUGCAUGACUAUUUUUUCUAAUUUAUUUAUAAAAUUUUUGAAUAAGAUAAACUGUCAAAGUUAGACACAGAAAU
rnacentral:pre_miRNA from 1 species